UACUAUAAAGUCUUUAAGAUAAGGUGGAGCUCGAUUAUUCAACACCUUGUAUGUGAGGAAAAAAAGAUUGCAACAUGUGGAUGCAAACCGAAUCAAUGGAACUAUUUUCUUAAUUAACUAAACUCUUUUUCUAAAAUAUUGCUCUGUUAAUUCCCCCCAAUUAAGAUGAUUUUAUUAACUAAAUAGAAGGAGAGUGAUCAGCAUAAAAAACUUUAUGAAUGUACUUGUAUUUAAAUUCCCCCUUUAGCACUGCCGGAUGAAGAAUUUCCACCUGCUAAGAAGCCACCCAGAGACCCUUUGCUACAGUUAGUCUCCCUCCAGAAGGCGUCUGGCUGCUGGCUGCUUGAUCCAGCUCUGGCUGCUGCACUGGGAAAGACCAACGAGGAGGUGGAAAAGUCAAAGCCUGAAAAGGCCAGCGGUGAAGAGUGGGCCACCAUUCUGGCUCUGAUCUGGCUUCAUGGUUUCAAGAUGGAUGCAAAGGACGAGUGGGAGCUUCUGGCUACAAAGGCUGCCUCAUGGCUCAGUGCGCAAAAAGCACCGUCUGUGACAGAGUGUGUGGAAGCCGGAAAUAUAUUGUUGGGUUGCAGUGUGCAAAAAACUGCCCUUGGCCUCUGAGUUUUUUAUAAACUAACAACUUCUUUAUGAUUCAUACACAGAAGCAGAUUUACUUCAUACUUCAUC